GUCCCAGCAGCUGACUGUCCUCCAAAUCAAAACCAUUCUCUCCCUCUCUAUGUUUUCUCGGAGCAUGAACCUGCAAGCUGCAACGCCUGUCCACCAGGAGCAAGGAAAGCCUGGAAUAUUUUCCUCACCAAAAGUAUACCUGAAGUCUCCUGGGAGUCUGCGGACACGAUGGCUCUCUGGGAGUCAGCAGGAUCACAGUACCCUAAGUACCAGCAAAACUGACUUUUGAAGCAGAACUACUGUUUCACCUUAACAAGUCAGUAUUAUAAAGCCUGUGGCCAUGGAACUUCUAAUGCAAAAAAGGUACUAAAGUCUCCUCAUCCAACCCCACUUCUACAUUUUUACCGUGACUCUGUGAAUGUAACACAGAUUUUACAGGAAUGUUCCCAUUUUCAAUAUUCUGAUGUCUCCCAUUCUGAAGUGGUUUGCUCGAGCCAUUUGCAGAUUGGAUUAACCGCUGGCGCUGCACAGUAUUGAAGACAAAACUGCUGGCAGAAGUGCAAGUAUUCCAGCAGUGGCCCAGGACAGCAAAGAGCCAUGGCCUGAGACUCCAGCAGUGCUGAAGCAGAACUACAAUACAGGGUGCAUCCUUCCAUAUAAUGGGAAGGUUUAUAAAGAGCCUCAUCUUCCUCAGGCUUCGUGUUACAUUCAACUAUGUGUAUUUGUGUCUCAGUUAUGGAACACCAACUUUCACUGUGUGCAGAAAUAAGCUUCUUUGGAUGACUCUCAUGAAAAUGCAUGCAUCCUUACUAGGCAUCAGCAGUAAAAUGUCAACAGUCUGAGCACCAAAAGUUGAAAUUGCAAAUCUCCUUGGUACUGUAGCUUGCACUAAUUCAUAAUUCCAUACCAACAUAAACCACUUGAAGAUUUUAGUGAAAGCCAGGAAAUCACCACUCUUACCAUCCCCACACAGUGCAGAGGACCCAUGUCAGCUGAGCUGCUCUAAAUCCAAAGGGCAAACUUGCAGCUGGAAACAAGGAGGAGGAUCAAACAUCACUUGAGUUCUAGUGAAACCUAGUUUGCUCACCUGUGCGCAACAGUCAGAAGUCUGCUAUCAUGGAGAGCCUGUGAUGUCUGCAAUGUCAAUGACAUCUACAAGGGGACUUCAAUAAAAAUCUAUUGGGGAAGGCAUAAAUAACAAGGCAUAAAUCAGCAACCUGGAUUCCAUACAGGCCAGGAGUUCUGUGACUCUGCAAAUUCAUCAGCCCAAACCCAUAUCAUCAGUUAUAGAAGUUAGUACAUAAUACCAGACCCACUUUAAAGAGACUCUUGUAUUUGGAGUGAGGCACUGAUUUAAAUACUCAGAUGAAGCACGUGUGAUGAUCUUAUCUUAAAAAGGACAAAAAAAAUUAUCUUUGAAGAUUAUUUAACUUGAAGACAACUCAAGCUAUUACUAAACAGCAAAAAACCACUCUAGUAGUGAACUACAGAACCGUUUUCACUGAAGAAUCACAAAGAACUAUCAGUGGUAGCCAAAUAAAAUCAUACAUACAGGGUAAUAUAUGUUAACAAUAGAGCCACUGUAUGUUAUGGAUGGCACUGGUGACCUUUUCUAGUGGAUUCAUGCAAGGAAGGUUAACAGAAAUCCAGUUUGUGUGGCUAUUAUGAAAACAGCAUAGACAAAAUAAACAGAGAUAAGCACACAGGCUCAGCUUAGUGCAAGUGCUAUUGUGACAUCUAUGUCAGACUAGGUUCUUUAUUCUGGUUUGUAAUCUCGGCAUUGUGGUCACUAUGCUCCACACAGCUGUAUGGUGAACUAGAAAUAACCUUCCAGUAGACAUACUCUGAAUUACUAAGGUAGUCUCUUAAAAUUUUAUGCCAAAAGAGCAGGCACACCUAGAAUUCCUGCAGAAAGCAGUCUGAAUAUAAAUCCUUAAGGAAUCAAUGAUAAUGUCCAAGUGCUAGAGAAUUCCAGUCAUAUCGGGUACCAUACACUGACAAUAUCCCAAGAUAAGCCCUAGUUUCAGAUGAGGCAAAUCACAGUUAAAAUUGAGCUUGGAAUGGUGGAAACUUAAGGAAAGGAUAGAUUCUGACACAUACAGUAAUGACUGUAGAUCCUGAUGGCCAUCAGCAACACCUAGUAAUGACAAAGGGGGCUGCAGCCAAAGAAUGACGAUGUAAACCAUCCACAGGGCUUCUCUGUCACUACAUCAAGUGGGAGGAAAUUUGUUUGAAAACCGAAGGCUGGAGCUGCUUCCGAUGAAAGGAUGGCACUGCUGUGCCAGCAGGCUGAGGAGGUGGUGGUGGCAGCUGGAAGAAGCUGGGCAGGGGAUGGUAAUUAUCUAUAAUUAACAUUUAAGGAAGGAACAGCGUAUUCACGAAUAACUGACACAAUCACGAGAUAAGCUGAAUAUUUUCCUGCCAAUAAUUGCAGUCACAUAAAACAUCAGAACAUUCACCUCUAUGAAAAAGCAAUAUUGAAAGUUAUCUGGAUAUGGGACAUCCGUGAAAAAAUAUACGCGCACACUUUUCAAAGUCAUGCUUCCCACUAAACAACUUUCACAACAAGAUCUAGGCAAACAAAAACUUAAUGCUCUUUUAAAUAAAAAAUUCCACCCAUCUUCCCAAUAAAUCGAAUGAGGAACCGGAAAUAGAACCACCUGCAAAUACAGCCACCUUCAUCAAGGCACAGAUUAUCACAGGAAGGAACUGUUUGGAGAAAAUUUGACAAAAUUUGACAAAGGCAUUUCUUAUGUAUUUGGUUUAAACAACAACUGCACUUCUAGAAAGCCUUUAAGUGCUACCAUGCUGACAUCUCAGAGACAUUAGGAUGAGAUCACAGGCCUGUGUGUGUUAAAAGUAAAGUAGCCUAAAUUUGUAAGCACUUAUAAUUCAAAUCAAAUUAGGUACAGCUGUGAAUCAGUGUACACAAAAGUCAUCCUAUCAUUAUGGUAGGCCCUGCCAGGAGAAGCUGAAGGAGAAGGUUACUCUCAUAGCAUUCUUAAAAUUAAUUACUACAUAUAUGGUAUUUGUAUGCAUAUAAUAAUACAACUAAAUAUAAGAGCUGAUAUUAUAAAAUAAAAAAUCAUUAAAAACACUACAUUAGGAAGAAGAAGGACCUAUGGGAGUAAUCAGUUUCAAUUAAAAAAUAGCAUGUAAUAGGGAAGAAAUCAGAUUUUUUAUGAAGACAAAAAAAGCUAAUAGAGGACUGAAAUGAGUACAGAACAUACAGAAAGAAGUACAGAAAAUAAGGAGUGUGAAAUUGCACAAAACAUUCACAGUAGGGAAUAACUACUGUGAGGCAAAAUGAUGCACUAUUUUGACUAAACAUACAGGGAUGUGAUAAUGAGGCAUGAGGACAUCCAGGAAGAAAUGUCUGAAGGUUUAAGAUCUGAGAAGGGAAAAAUGUGUCAAUAACAGGCAUGGAUUUGGAAAUUACCAUCAGACAAGUUAUGACUGAACUUAUCAGAGCAGAGCUGAAGAUGUUAUAAAGAAGAGAAGGCAACAGAAGGAAGAAACAUGCAUUAUGCCAUAAGGAAAAUAAAAAGGCCGCCAUGGACACAGUAUGAGCAAAGUGAAGGAAAUCCCCAUAGAGCCUAACACCAAGGAAGACAAGACCAGGGAAAAAAUAGAGGUAGAGACUGUAGUAAGAGAGGAAGUAUCUAGACAGAUCACAGAUUGUCCCAGUGACCUGUCUAAAGAGUUAGAUGUAAACCAAUGGCAGUUAGCUCACAUAAUUCAUUAGAUGUGAUCCACAGAUGUUCAGAAUGUUUUAACCCAAAUGGUCCAAAUAUAAUUCCCAAAGAAUCCACAAAUAUAAGUAUCACAUAAGGAUAUGUCUUUCAGUCAAGAAUAACUUGCAGUUAAGGUGUAGUGCAGGUGAUCUGCAAGACUUCAAUAAUUUGCAACACAGACUUCCAAAGGUCAGUAAAAUAAACCCAGGGAUAUUUAUUUAAUCCCGAUAAUUUUCACAGUAGCUUUCCUCUUUAAAAAAAAAGCAUAAAAAUCUCUGCACAUUUUAGCCCAAUUCAACAUCUUUUUUCUUUAGAUUUAAGAAUAUUUUCUCUGCCAAAAUCUAACUUACUUUUUGGCUGACAUUUUAACAGCAUAAUUAAUAAACUAUAACAGUUCAACUACUAUUCUAUUUUCAACUCUGGCAAUACUCUGAUAUGCGAGCUUGAAUAAACCACUUCAGAUCAUCUGCUUCCCCCCCUCACUAUUCUGUCUCUUCUGAUGAUUGGGUGACUGAGAUACAAAGAAAUUUUACAAUUAAAGAUUCAUUAAGUAAUAGUAUCUACAUAAAGCAGCAAGCUCAACUUUUUUUAUUUAUUUAUGAUGAUGUAGUCAGAAAGACAAAAAACUACUUUCCUUGUUACCAGACAAAAACACCAGUAAGAACAAAGAAUAUAAUUUCAAGACAUCUGAGAUGUAGGAGGUCUGAAUCAUUUAGAUAUUUGUUAGUUGCACUUGAUAUUACUUCAAUCUGUAAAAGCUUAGAUAACAAUAUCAAACAGACAUGAGUUAGCUGUGUUUUUCUCCUUCUGAUAUAUGUGUCUAUAUUUACACUUAU